rnacentral:rRNA from 1 species
GACAGAGGCCUCGAGCGUUAGGCGGAAUCACUGGGCGUAAAGCGCACGUAGGCGGAUUCUUAAGUCAGGGGUGAAAUCCUGGAGCUCAACUCCAGAACUGCCUUUGAUACUGGGAAUCUCGAGUCCGGGAGAGGUGAGUGGAACUGCGAGUGUAGAGGUGAAAUUCGUAGAUAUUCGCAAGAACACCAGUGGCGAAGGCGGCUCACUGGCCCGGUACUGACGCUGAGGUGCGAAAGCGUGGGGAGCAAACAGG